rnacentral:rRNA from 1 species
AUUGAACGCUGGCGGCAGGCUUAACACAUGCAAGUCGAACGAGUGGCGGACGGGUGAGUAAUGCCUGGGAAUCUAGCUGAUGGAGGGGGAUAACUACGGGAAACUGUAGCUAAUACCGCGUACCAUAGGAUGAGCCCAAGUGGGAUUAGGUAGUUGGUGAGGUAAAGGCUCACCAAGCCGACGAUCUCUAGCUGGUCUGAGAGGAUGACCAGCCACACUGGAACUGAGACACGGCCCAGACUCCUACGGGAGGCAGCAGUGGGGAAUAUUGCGCAAUGGGGGCAAUCCUGACGCAGCCAUGCCGCGUGUGUGAAGAAGGCCUUCGGGUUGUAAAGCACUUUCAGUAGCGAGGCGUUAACCACAGAAGAAGCACCGGCUAACUCCGUGCCAGCAGCCGCGGUAAUUC